UACGUAGGGGGCAAGCGUUGUCCGGAUUUAUUGGGCGUAAAGAGCUCGUAGGCGGUUUGGUAAGUCGGAUGUGAAAUCUCCAGGCUCAACCUGGAGGGGUCAUUCGAUACUGCCAUGACUAGAGUUCGGUAGGGGAGUGUGGAAUUCCUGGUGGAGCGGUGAAAUGCGCAGAGAUCAGGAGGAACACCCGUAGCGAAGGCGGCACCUCUGGGCCGAUACUGACGCUGAGGAGCGAAAGCGUGGGGAG
rnacentral:rRNA from 1 species